rnacentral:rRNA from 1 species
CGAUUGUAGUCAUAUGCUUGUCUCAAAGAUUAAGCCAUGCAUGUCUAAGUAUAAGCAAUUAUACCGCGAAACUGCGAAUGGCUCAUUAUAUAAGUUAUCGUUUAUUUGAUAGCACAUUACUACUUGGAUAACCGUGGUAAUUCUAGAGCUAAUACAUGCUAAAAAUCCCGACUUCGGAAGGGAUGUAUUUAUUAGAUUAAAAGCCAACGCCCUUCGGGGCUCUCUGGUGAUUCAUAAUAACUGGUCGAAUCGCAUGGCCUUGCGCCGGCGAUGGUUCAUUCAAAUUUCUUCCCUAUCAACUUUCGAUGCGAGGGUCUUGUCCUCGCAUGGUUGCAACGGGUAACGGAGGGUUAGGGCUCGACCCCGGAGAAGGAGCCUGAGAAACGGCUACUACAUCCAAGGAAGGCAGCAGGCGCGCAAAUUACCCAAUCCCGACACGGGGAGGUAGUGACAAUAAAUACUGAUACAGGGCUCUUUUGGGUCUUGUAAUCGGAAUGAGUACAAUUUAAGUCCCUUAACGAGGAACAAUUGGAGGGCAAGUCUGGUA